rnacentral:lncRNA from 1 species
GUUUACAACGGAAUCCGGACGCCGGGCGCGAGUGGAGCUCAGUGCCAGAGGAGGGGAUUCCCGGCGCCGGGGGACAGAGCCCCUUUUUUCUUUUGCCGAAAGACCCUUUCUGCUGGGGAGCCUCUUGUGUCCAGCCUAGGCCCGCGUGCAGCGCCGACGGAUGACCGUCUUCUUGGCAAGUGCGAGGAUCCUCCUCCCCUCGGCUCUCUUUUUAGACACAGUGGGGGUUGAAUGGAUGCGCGCGAUAUAAGCAAAUUAAAUGGUUCGUGGCCGCAUCCUAGAGCCCUUUAAUUAGAGUUACCAUUUGUAGAAGGCCUGCCGUGCACAAUCCCUCGUUUCAUCUCCCCCCAAACCGAGCAGGAAAGUGAAUAAACUUAAUUGAGAAUGUCUGAAAACCUUGACAAGUCCAAUGUAAAUGAAGCAGGAAAAUCAAAAUCCAAUGAUUCUGAGGAAGGCCUCGAAGAUGCUGUGGAAGGUGCUGAUGAAGCCUUACAAAAAGCAAUAAAGUCAGACUCCUCCAGCCCCCAAAGAGUGCAGAGACCUCACU